rnacentral:hammerhead_ribozyme from 1 species
AUCCAGAUGAUGAGUUCCAAAUAAGACGAAAUGCGCAUCCUCAUGGAU